rnacentral:rRNA from 1 species
AUUGAACGCUGGCGGCAGGCUUAACACAUGCAAGUCGAGCGGGGUGAUGGUGCUUGCACUAUCACUUAGCGGCGGACGGGUGAGUAAUGCUUAGGAAUCUGCCUAUUAGUGGGGGACAACAUCUCGAAAGGGAUGCUAAUACCGCAUACGUCCUACGGGAGAAAGCAGGGGAUCACUUGUGACCUUGCGCUAAUAGAUGAGCCUAAGUCGGAUUAGCUAGUUGGUGGGGUAAAGGCCUACCAAGGCGACGAUCUGUAGCGGGUCUGAGAGGAUGAUCCGCGAAACUGGGACUGAGAAACGGGCCAGACUCCUACGGGAGGCAGCAGUGGGGAAUAUUGGACAAUGGGGGGAACCCUGAUCCAGCCAUGCCGCGUGUGUGAAGAAGGCCUUAUGGUUGUAAAGCACUUUAAGCGAGGAGGAGGCUCUUUUGGUUAAUACCCAAGAUGAGUGGACGUUACUCGCAGAAUAAGCACCGGCUAACUCUGUGCCAGCCGCCGCGGUAA